CGAGCGUUGUCCGGAUUUAUUGGGCGUAAAGAGCUCGUAGGCGGCUCAUUGCGUCAACCGUGAAAACCUGCCGCUCAACGGUAGGCUUGCGGUUGAUACGGGUGGGCUGGAGUUCGGUAGGGGAGACUGGAAUUCCUGGUGUAGCGGUGAAAUGCGCAGAUAUCAGGAGGAACACCGGUGGCGAAGGCGGGUCUCUGGGCCGAUACUGACGCUGAGGAGCGAAAGCGUGGGGAGCGAACAGG
rnacentral:rRNA from 1 species